rnacentral:tRNA from 1 species
GCGCCCGUAGCUCAGCUGGAUAGAGCAUUGGUCUUCGAAACCAAGGGUCGGCGGUUCGAACCCGUCCGGGCGCA